rnacentral:rRNA from 1 species
UACAGAGGUCCCAAGCGUUGUUCGGAUUUACUGGGCGUAAAGGGUGCGUAGGUGGUGGGGUAAGUUUGACGUGAAAGCUUCGGGCCUAACCCGAAAAUUGCGUCGAAUACUAUUCUGCUAGAGGGUCGGAAGGGAGACUGGAAUUCUCGGUGUAGCAGUGAAAUGCGUAGAUAUCGAGAGGAACACCUGUGGCGAAGGCGAGUCUCUGGACGAUUCCUGACACUGAGGCACGAAAGCUAGGGGAGCAAACGGG